UACGUAGGGUGCAGGCGUUAAUCGGAAUUACUGGGCGUAAAGCGCGUGUAGGCGGCUUUGCAAGUCGGGUGUGAAAGCCCUCAGCUCAACUGAGGAAGUGCGCCCGAAACUGCAGAGCUUGAGUGCCGGAGAGGGUGGCGGAAUUCCCCAAGUAGAGGUGAAAUUCGUAGAUAUGGGGAGGAACACCGGUGGCGAAGGCGGCCACCUGGACGGUAACUGACGCUGAGACGCGAAAGCGUGGGGAGCAAACAGG
rnacentral:rRNA from 1 species